UAAUCUUUUAAAUCUAAAUUUGGAAAAUCUUAUAUGAAUCAUGAAUGGGCACACCAACUCACUUAUAUAUCUAUGGUUCAGUGAGAGAUGAUGAAAACUUGUAUAAUAUUUUACUUAUUUACCUGUGUACAUGUGACUAAUAUAUCAAGGUGUCUUCAAUUAUUUUCUUCUUCUACAUUAUCAAUAAAUAAACAAUACUGAACUGAUUGAGACUUUAUGAAAGUUAAUUAGCCUAAGUUUAGCCUCAUUUGUGAAUAGCUGGAUAAGAUUCAUUACUAUGAGAUGCAACUAUUAGUGGCAAGCAGAUUUUUCAAAAAGUCAUUAGUAGCAAGCAGUUAACUAUUUAUCAUUUAAUUUUACCAACAUGAAUAUUUUGUAAAGAUCUAAUACAUUGUACAUGUAAGGAAAAAUUUGAUCAACUAUUCGUAAUGUUUUUUAAGCUCAGUAUGGAACAAUAAAAUGCCUCCAUACUGAACAUGUAAAACUUCUGAAUGACUGAAAAUUUUCAAGUCUUUUUGUGCACAUGGCUUAUAGCUCUUCACAACGAAUGUCAUUUUCUGGGCCUAAUUAUUUAAUAUCACACUAAUCGUCCUUAGUGUGCAAUAAUAUGAAUUCUAGGCAUACUACUAUUUCAUAUCUGGCCCACACGUUAACCUAGGCUUUAAUAAAUAAACAAAUAGACUUGACUAUCUGAAAACAUUAUCUAAAUUCUCGAGCUCUACCACCGCUCAUUAAAUCUGAUCUAAAAAUAAUGCUGGCUGAUGAAACUCUUAAUAGCUCUCUCCCAUCAAAAAUCACUAUAAAUAUGCGGCAAAAAACCUAAAAACAGUACAAAAUUUCAAGAUCCAUAUAUGUUAGUAUCUCUCUCUCUAUCUAUGUAUGUAAGAUAUGGUGAGAUGAAGAAUCAGUUAGCCUUCCCUGACUCCCAUGAAGACAAUGACCCAACAUCACCACCAUCAUCAUCAUUCAUCAUUAUCGUCACCAUCUCUUUUUGUUUGUCCCUUCUUUGAACCACCACUUGCUAAAACCUAGCUAGUUGCUAGUGGCUACAUCCACCUACUUCUUCUUUUUCUAUAACUUACUGUUCGUCACUUAUAGUUUCAGCACUACUCGGUUGGGAGAAGUUUCAGAAAGAGAGCUAGCUAGGGUUUUCACACAGGUUCAAUUAAAUCAGAGCUGCUGAAACUUCAAGAUCCACUUUCGUCCUUUGUCCCUCUCUCUUGGCAUCCUCUUCUUGACAAGACCCAUCAGUUGUCUUUCUUGCACAGUAAAGCUUGCUUCUUCCUGGGAGUUUCACACAUAACAAUCCCCUUAUAUGGAAACGCAGCCUCUGGCUGUAUAUGGAUAAUUCAGCCUCAUGUGAUCUCCAACUAACCAAUAUCUUUAAGAGACAAGGCAUCAUCAUAACAUCAUUUGGUCGAAGGAAUGGAAUAAACAAACAAUAUAUAUGAAUUAGGGUUUAUACAUUAUUUUAGUUGAGGCCGGUGGUUGCGGACAAAAUGUUUCAUAUUUUUAAGUGUAACCCAAAUAUAUAUUUUUUAAUUUCCCGAAACUCAUCACGUUUAAAGCUUCAUGUAUAUCGAGAACUUGUGCAUGUAUAUCUCAUAUUAUACCCUCCAUUGAGAUAUGGAGAAGUAUAGUACUUUUUCAAAAAAGAAGCAAAAUUUGAGAGUUCUUAAAGCAACCUGAAUGGUAGGUUCUUAUCAUGAAGUUCUAAAAUUAUAUAUUGGUGUAUGUUUAUAAUUUUAGAAUUCCAUGGUAAGAAACUAACAUUGGAUUGGAGGUGCUCUUAGAUAUAUUAAAUAUUAAAUUACAUAUUUACUUUUGGAUAUGUCCCUCAUAUUCAUGUAACGGUGCCGGAAAGUCUCGACCACAUGAAAAACUAGAGCAUGGAAUACAAGAAAAUGGUACUCGACGUUCGUCCACAACUUGCCUUUUUCAUACUUCAAAGGUUACGAGAUUACUUUUCAUUUUAAACUCAAACAGAAUCAAGUGAUAAUUGGUCCAUGUCUCCCUCUCUCAGAAGCUGAGAGCAUGUUUAUCCCUUGAUCCUUAAGUGUAGUUCUUAGUGAUUAUUUAAUAUUUUAAUUGUACUUUAGUGGGGUUAAG